rnacentral:rRNA from 1 species
UGAGUAAUGCCUGGNAAAUUGCCCAGUCGAGGGGGAUAACAGUUGGAAACGACUGCUAAUACCGCAUACNCCCUACGGGGGAAAGCAGGGGACCUUCGGGCCUUGCGCGAUUGGAUAUGCCCAGGUGGGAUUAGCUAGUUGGUGAGGUAAUGGCUCACCAAGGCGACGAUCCCUAGCUGGNCUGAGAGGAUGAUCAGCCACACUGGAACUGAGACACGGUCCAGACUCCUACGGGAGGCAGCAGUGGGGAAUAUUGCACAAUGGGGGAAACCCUGAUGCAGCCAUGCCGCGUGUGUGAAGAAGGCCUUCGGGUUGUAAAGCACUUUCAGCGAGGAGGAAAGGUCAGUAGCUAAUAUCUGCUGGCUGUGACGUUACUCGCA